UUAACCCGUCAUAUCGAUCUCAGGCUUGAAUCGCAGAGAUCACAAAACGCCCCGGCGCUGUAGGAUGUGGCUGCGGUUGAUUAGGUAGACGGUGGGGUAACGGCCCACCGUGCCCAUAAUCAGUACAGGUUGUGAGAGCAAGAACCUGGAGACGGAAUCUGAGACAAGAUUCCGGGCCCUACGGGGCGCAGCAGGCGCGAAACCUUUACACUGCACGCACGUGCGAUAAGGGGACUCCGAGUGCGAGGGCAUAUCGUCCUCGCUUUCGUGUACCGUAGGGUGGUACACCAACAAGGGCUGGGCAAGACCGGUGCCAGCCGCCGCGGUAAUACCGGCAGCCCGAGUGAUGGCCGAUCUUAUUGGGCCUAAAGCGUCCGUAGCU
rnacentral:rRNA from 1 species